UUGGCUAAACACAGCCCAAUGACUGUAGAUUGGGAACAACAAUGGAUGUCUUUUCCUUUGCAUGGAAAAACAGUAACCAUCCAAGGAGCUACACCUGUGGAAUUUGCUUACACUAUUAUAGAAUUAUCGGUAGUCACUGAUGAUGAUGCACAAAUUGUGUUGCCAGAAAUUCAGGAAUUACUGGAGGAGUACAAAGAUGUUUUUGCUAUUCCAACUGGGUUACCACCGGAGAGAGCCUGUGAUCACUCUAUUCCUCUUAUUCCAGGUGCUAGGCCAUUUUCACACAGGCCAUAUAGCCUAGCACCAGAAUUAAAGGAUGAGGUGGAAAAGCAAAUCCAGGAAAUGCUAGACUCUGGUGUGAUUAGAAGGAGUAACAGUCCUUUCUCCUCACCAAUUCUCUUGGUUAAGAAGAAGGACCAUACAUGGAGAUUAGUGGUGGAUUACAGACAUCUCAAUGCCCUUACAAUCAAAGGAAACUACCCUAUGCCUGUGAUAGAUGAACUACUGGAUGAAUUACAUGGUGCACAGUGGUUUACCAAGUUGGAUCUCAGGGCUGGUUACCAUCAGAUCAGGCUAGCUCCUGGUGAAGAGUAUAAAACAGCAUUUCAAACCCAUCAUGGGCAUUUUGAAUUUUUAGUGGUGGGUUUUGGUCUGACAGGAGCUCCAAACACUUUCCAAGGAGCCAUAAAUGUGUCCUUGUCUGAAGAACCUGAUAUGCUCAGAGAAUUUGUGAUAGCUUUCUUUGAUGACAUCCUUGUUUUCAGCAAGACCUUGCAACAGUAUAUAGAACAUGUCAGAAGAGUUUUGCAGGUUUUGAGAAGGGACAAAUGGUAUGUGAAACUCUCCAAGUGUGAAUUUGCUUCU
rnacentral:rRNA from 1 species